rnacentral:rRNA from 1 species
UACGGAGGGUGCAAGCGUUAUCCGGAUUCACUGGGUUUAAAGGGUGCGUAGGCGGGCAGGUAAGUCCGUGGUGAAAUCUCCAAGCUUAACUUGGAAACUGCCGUGGAUACUAUUUGUCUUGAAUAUAGUGGAGGUGAGCGGAAUAUGUCAUGUAGCGGUGAAAUGCUUAGAUAUGACAUAGAACACCCAUUGCGAAGGCAGCUAACUACGCGAAUAUUGACGCUGAGGCACGAAAGCGUGGGGAUCAAACAGG